rnacentral:tRNA from 1 species
ACUAAAGUAGUUUAUAAAAAAUUUAGAUUUGUGGAUUCUAAGAAGUUAAUGAGAAAACCUUAAGUU